GAUGAACGCUGGCGGCGUGCCUAAUACAUGCAAGUCGAGCGAACAGACGAGGAGCUUGCUCCUCUGACGUUAGCGGCGGACGGGUGAGUAACACGUGGAUAACCUACCUAUAAGACUGGGAUAACUUCGGGAAACCGGAGCUAAUACCGGAUAAUAUAUUGAACCGCAUGGUUCAAUAGUGAAAGACGGUUUUGCUGUCACUUAUAGAUGGAUCCGCGCCGCAUUAGCUAGUUGGUAAGGUAACGGCUUACCAAGGCAACGAUGCGUAGCCGACCUGAGAGAGUGAUCGGCCACACUGUAACUGAGACACGGUCCAGACUCCUACGGGAGGCAGCAGUAGGGAAUCUUCCGCAAUGGGCGAAAGCCUGACGGAGCAACGCCGCGUGAGUGAUGAAGGUCUUCGGAUCGUAAAACUCUGUUAUUAGGGAAGAACAAAUGUGUAAGUAACUAUGCACGUCUUGACGGUACCUAAUCAGAAAGCCACGGCUAACUACGUG
rnacentral:rRNA from 1 species